AGCAUAAUCACUUGUCUUUUAAUUGGAGGCUAGAAUGAAGGAGGCGACGAAAUCUGGGCUAUUGGGUUAUAUUAUAAAAUUAACAUAAAGGUUAAAAGGCUUUUAUAAAUCAAAGGGACGAGAAGACCCUAUAAAACUUUACUGUAAAUUAAAUUAUUUAGACAAGAUUUAUAUUCACAUAGUUUAGCUGGGGCGGUUUAUAUAAAAACAAUUGAAGUAAUAAUAUAUUGAAUAAGAAUUGAGAACUCUAAAAGGAAAUGAACAAGUUACUUUAGGGAUAACAGCAUAAUUCUCCCAGAGAGUCCUAAUUGGCGGGAGAGCUUAUGACCUCGAUGUUGAAUUGGGGUGUCUAGUAUAAGUAGAAAUAUAUUAAGAUAGUCUGUUCGACUAUUAAAUUCCC
rnacentral:rRNA from 1 species